rnacentral:rRNA from 1 species
CCCUUAGAUGUUCUGGGCUGCACGCGCGCUACACUGAUGCAUCCAACAAGUUUUUUCCUUGUUCGAGAGGACUAGGUAAUCUUAUGAGAAUGCAUCGUGAUGGGGAUAGAUUAUUGCAAUUAUUAAUCUUCAACGAGGAAUUCCUAGUAAGUGCGAGUCAUCAGCUUGCGCUGACUUACGUCCCUGCCCCUUGUACACACCGCCCGUCGCUGCCCGGAACUGAGCCGUUUCGAGAAAGCCGGGGACUGACGGCUUGUGGGUGCGCAAGCGCUUCUUGCCGAUGGAAACCAGUUUAAUCGGUAUGGCUUGAACCGGGCAAAAGUCGUAACA